AUUUAAAUAGCUUAAAAUUUUAGAGCCAUUAUAUUGAAAAUAUAAGGGUAAUUUUAUUAAUUUUUAAAUA
rnacentral:tRNA from 1 species